rnacentral:rRNA from 1 species
UCGAUGAAGAACGCAGCGAAAUKCGAUAAGUAAUGUGAAUUGCAGAAUUCCGUGAAUCAUCGAAUCUUUGAACGCACAUUGCGCCCUYCGGCACUYCSGAGGGCAUGCCUGUCCGAGUGUCGUCAUGGCAUCGCCCCCARCCGUUUGAGGUUUUGGGGACGGUUUUUGGCCGCAGGCACCGGUGGGGUCGCCUCCGGGCGUCCCCCCAGCAAGCCCGGCUCAAAUCCUUGGUCCGCACAGGUGGGAGAGGGGCCCCUCGACGUAGUGGUGACAUUUCCCGUCGUAGGCCUCCUCGAGCCCCCUGGGACCGUAAACGCUGGCGCCCACGUGUGCGCCACCGACCUCUCGAGUUUGACCUCGGAUCAGGCAGGGAUACCCGCC